GACGAACCGUGCGAACGUUGUUCGGAUUCACUGGGCUUAAAGGGCGCGUAGGCGGGCGGUCAAGUCAGGGGUGAAAUCUUUCGGCUCAACCGGAAAAGUGCCUUUGAUACUGGCCGUCUCGAGGGAGGUAGGGGCAUGCGGAACUUCCGGUGGAGCGGUGAAAUGCGUAGAUAUCGGAAGGAACGCCGGUGGCGAAAGCGGCGUGCUGGACCUCUUCUGACGCUGAGGAGCGAAAGCGUGGGGAGCGAACAGG
rnacentral:rRNA from 1 species